rnacentral:rRNA from 1 species
GACGAACGCUGGCGGCGUGCUUAACACAUGCAAGUCGAACGGAAAGGCCCUGCUUUUGUGGGGUGCUCGAGUGGCGAACGGGUGAGUAACACGUGAGUAACCUGCCCUUGACUUUGGGAUAACUUCAGGAAACUGGGGCUAAUACCGGAUAGGAGCUCCUGCGGCAUGGUGGGGGUUGGAAAGUUUCGGCGGUUGGGGAUGGACUCGCGGCUUAUCAGCUUGUUGGUGGGGUAGUGGCUUACCAAGGCUUUGACGGGUAGCCGGCCUGAGAGGGUGACCGGCCACAUUGGGACUGAGAUACGGCCCAGACUCCUACGGGAGGCAGCAGUGGGGAAUAUUGCUCAAUGGGCGGAAGCCUGAUGCAGCAACGCCGCGUGCGGGAUGACGGCCUUCGGGUUGUAAACCGCUUUCGCCUGUGACGAAGCGUGAGUGACGGUAAUGGGUAAAGAAGCACCGGCUAACUACGUG